CCUACGGGAGGCAGCAGUGAGGAAUAUUGGUCAAUGGACGCAAGUCUGAACCAGCCAUGCCGCGUGCAGGAAGACGGCUCUAUGAGUUGUAAACUGCUUUUGUACGAGGGUAAACGCCGAUAAGCGUAUCUUUCUGAACGUAUCGUACUAAUAAGGAUCGGCUAACUCCGUGCCAGCAGCCGCGGUAAUACGGAGGAUUCAAGCGUUAUCCGGAUUUAUUGGGUUUAAAGGGUGCGUAGGCGGUCGGAUAAGUUAGAGGUGAAAUCCCGAGGCUCAACUUCGGAAUUGCCUCUGAUACUGGUCGGCUAGAGUGUAGUUGCGGUAGGCGGAAUGUAUGGUGUAGCGGUGAAAUGCUUAGAGAUCAGACAGAACACCGAUGGCGAAGGCAGCUUACCAAGCUACAUCUGACGUUGAGGCACGAAAGCGUGGGGAGCAAACAGGAUUAGAUACCCUAGUAGUC
rnacentral:rRNA from 1 species